UUUUACAAUAUUGCUAAAAGGUUUAAAAAAUGUUUAAAUUGCUUCAGUCAUAGAUAAAAAUUUAUAAAGCAAAGAAGACCUUUAGUAUAUAUCAAAAGUCAUUUAUUUGUAAUUUUCUAUUUUUUAAACUAGUGAGAAUUUAACUGAAUUACUGUCUUUUAGCUCUAAAGUUUUGAUUACAUUGUUCUGUUUUAAAAUAGUUAAGAGUAGGGUGGAAGUAGUUUAGUGCUAGAGUAUGUGCUUAGCAUAUACAAGGAUCUGGAUUCAGUUCCUAGCACAAAAACGAAAUAAAGUUUAAGACCACAUCUCAAACAAAGUUGUUUAAAUAGACAAUGUUGGCCCUGAAUUAUAUCAAAGAUUUUUUUCCCUCUCAUCUUUGUCUGGUUUUAGUUCCUUCAGGUCAGUUACUAAUGGGGAACAAAUAUGUCAUGUUUUACAACUUAAUCUGU